AGGAACACGGAGGAUAAGUGCGAGAAUGCCGCAAAACAGUGAAAUGGACGCUGUAAGGAAACCCUUUGGCUGCAGCAGUAAUUCGAGCAUGACUUGGAGCUGUGAAUCAACCAACAGAAAUGUAUUUGCUGCUCAAAACCUUCGUUCCAAAACCUGCAUGCAGAUUCGCAAGAGGAGUCGUCGAAAGGAUAUCUGGGGUUAAAACUUACCCAUGUCGGUGUGAUAAAUAAAAAUAGCCUAGCUGUGAACAUAAAUUAUGCUGUACAAAAUGUGAUGUGAUAGAAAUAAAACAAAAAAAUAAUUCAAA